CAAGCUGCCUUUUUCCCCCUAGAUUAUGUCUCUGUCUUAGUGUGUGUCCUAUUGCUAUGAAAAAGAUCAUGACUAAAAGCAAUUUGGGGAGGAAAGUGUAUUUGGCUUACACAUCACAGUUCACCAUGGAGAGAAAGAAGUCAGGACAGGAACUCAAAGCCAGAACCUGGAGGCAGGAACUGAAGCUGAGUCCAUCUGGGAACAUUGCUUACAGGGCCUGCGGAGACCCUGAGCCAAGUUGGCCUCAGCUUUCAGCAGGAUCCAAGGCUUCCCGUGGCCGCAUCGACAGUUAAGCCGUCCCUCUUUUAGUGGUUGCUGCUGCAAGGCCGUACACUCUCCCAGCUAAGUGCAGCCACCUGUGUGACCUCAGCCCUGCUGCUGCCAUCUUGCCUGACCAGCCACCGCCAAAAGUUACGCAGAAUAGCUGAACGCCUUUGCCACCUUCUGGUCAAAGAUAAUUACUGCAUCUGGAGUAGAAACCACCAGAUUUUAUUUAUUUAUUAUAUAUGCAGUCUUCUGCCUGCACGCCAGCAGAGGGUACCAGAUCUCAUUCAAGGUGGUUGUGAGCCACCAUGUGGUUGCCAGGAAUUGAACUCAGGACCUCUGGAAGAACAGUCAGUGCUCUUAACCACUGAGCCAUCUCUCCAGCCCCAAACACUAAACUUUUGUAAUGCCCAUGAGAAAGGACAAACAGCUGUGGAAAGACACUGGACUAAGGAAAAAACUACUGAACUGAAUCAGCUGGUAUACUUCAAAGAUGUACUAACCUCUGUAUGGAAACCAGGACAUGUGUUACAAUGGGGUAGGGGUUUUGCUUUGGUUUCCACAGGAGAAGAAAAACUUUGGAUACCAUCAAUUUGAUCAAGAUUUGAGUUGAAAAGGAAAAACCUCUCGACGAGGAGAAAUGACAGGUAUUCUACUAAGUCCCACACAGCCAAUGAAGACCUGCCUGAUAGCAAUCCCUGGACACCCCAGAAAGAAAAUGGGCCAUACCUCCUUGACUGCACUGGAUCCAACUUGCUUCAUUUCAAUGGACACUCUGGCUAGAGCUUCGGGUACUGACUUCAAUCGAGUUGAAGAUUUCAAUCGAGAUCUUCAAUCAAGGGAAUCCCAUCUAAUAGGGACUGGAUACAAUCCAUUCAAGACUUUCACUAUACUAACAUUUUCUUCCUACAG
rnacentral:lncRNA from 1 species